rnacentral:rRNA from 1 species
UCUUCCGCAAUGGACGAAAGUCUGACGGAGCAACGCCGCGUGAGUGAUGAAGGUUUUUGGAUCGUAAAGCUCUGUUGUUAGGGAAGAACAAGUGCCGUUCAAAUAGGGCGGCGCCUUGACGGUACUUAACUAGAAAGCCACGGCUAACUACGUGGCAGCAGCCGCGGUCAUACGUAGGUGGCAAGCGUUGUCCAGAAUUAUUGGGCGUAAAGGGCUCGCAGGCGGUUUCUUAAGUCUGAUGUGAAAGCCCCCGGCUCAACCGGGGAGGGUCAUGGGAAACUGGGGAACUUGAGUGCAGAAGAGGAGAGUGGAAUUCCACGUGUAGCGGUGAAAUGCGUAGAGAUGUGGAGGAACACCAGUGGCGAAGGCGACUCUCUGGUCUGUAACUGACGCUGAGGAGCGAAAGCGUGGGGAGCGAACAG